CGCCAUCUUGUCGAAUUUCAUAAUGGCGGCAUUUUAAGCCAAUCAGAGAGGCCGUUGCAGUUCUCCGGGCCAAUCAGAGUUGACCAAUCGCGGAAUUUCACAAUGUCCAGAACAGCAUGCCGACGCU
rnacentral:lncRNA from 1 species